rnacentral:rRNA from 1 species
GAUGAGCCAGAUUUGGAAGUUUAGAUUAAAACUUCAAAAUGAUUUUAACUGAAGAGUUUGAUCAUGGCUCAGAUUGAACGCUGGCGGCAGGCUUAACACAUGCAAGUCGAGCGGGCGAGGUUGCUUCGGUAACUGAGCUAGCGGCGGACGGGUGAGUAAAGCUUAGGAAUCUGCCUAUUAGUGGGGGACAACAUUCCGAAAGGGAUGCUAAUACCGCAUACGUCCUACGGGAGAAAGCAGGGGAUCA